AGAUGAAGCAGAGAUCCCAAGGCUCCAGCAAAUGAGUAUUCCCUCAGGAACUCCAGCCCUCCAAAGUCCAGAGUUCCAAAUGUGGAAAGCACAUAGUCCCCCAGUGGAGAUUCUUGGGAGUAAUGUUUCUUCAGCCUCCCAGCACAGACUCACAUGAGUGACUCUACAGUGAGCUUUCAGGCCUUUGACCUUCAACUGUUACUGCAGCCUUGAUCUCGAUUGUUCUGCAGCUGCUCUCUUCUUUGGCUCAGAAGCUACUUGAUCCUCUGGCUCUUCAGCACUCAGACCAUUAUGGAUUCUUCAGCCUCUGAUCCUGCAGAUGGCCAUCGUGGACUCUUCUGCCUAAUAAAUCCCUUUGUGUAAUUUUACAUAUAUUUCACAUUGAUUCUGUUACUCUAGAAAAUGCUAAGAUAGAUUCUGUUACUAGAGAAGUGGGGUUGUUGCUGUGACUGUACGUGACUAUGUAGUUUAGAAAUUUUUGAAACUAACUAUGGGAGGAAUUUGUAAAGGUUUAGAUAUGUAAGCUAGAGAAGAAGCCCUACAUUGCUGUAAGUCAAACUUGAUGGGUGAUUAUGGUCAGAGCUCAGAAGACCAGAACGAUAGCAGGAAUGCAGACAGUAAAGACAAGGCUCAGGAUUUCGUUGGGAACAAGGACUCCAUUGCAGUUGGACUAGAGGCCAUGUGUGUUACACUCUGGUGGAAAACUUGUCUACAUUUUGCCCAUGUUCUGAGACUUUGCAGGAGACUGAGAUAAGGGCAGUGGACUAAUUAAUCUGGCAGAGGAAAUUUCAAAGCAGCCCAGUGUUCACGCUGGGCUAAAUGUCCCCCCAAAGCUUUAGGUGCUCAUAGGUGGGGCUUUGGGGAGGUAACUGGAUCAUGGGCAUGCGACACUCACCACUGG
rnacentral:lncRNA from 1 species